rnacentral:rRNA from 1 species
GAAAUAGCUCUGGCUAUAGACCGUACCCUAAACCGACACAGGUGGGAUGGUAGAGAAUACCAAGGCGCUUGAGAGAACUGCGUUGAAGGAACUCGGCAAAAUACCUCCGUAACUUCGGGAGAAGGAGGCCCCAGUUUAAGGCAACUUUUAUUGGGGGGCACAGACCAGGGGGUGGCGACUGUUUACUAAAAACAUAGGUCUCURCGAAGUCGUAAGACGAAGUAUAGGGACUGACGCCUGCCCGGUGCCGGAAGGUUAAAAGGAGGUGUGCAAGCACCGAAUUGAAGCCCCGGUAACGCGGCG